rnacentral:rRNA from 1 species
CAAGGCUUGACAUACACCGGAAAGCAUCAGAGAUGGUGCCCCCCUUGUGGUCGGUGUACAGGUGGUGCAUGGCUGUCGUCAGCUCGUGUCGUGAGAUGUUGGGUUAAGUCCCGCAACGAGCGCAACCCUUGUCCCGUGUUGCCAGCAAGCCCUUCGGGGUGUUGGGGACUCACGGGAGACCGCCGGGGUCAACUCGGAGGAAGGUGGGGACGACGUCAAGUCAUCAUGCCCCUUAUGUCUUGGGCUGCACACGUGCUACAAUGGCCGGUACAAUGAGCUGCGAUACCGCAAGGUGGAGCGAAUCUCAAAAAGCCGGUCUCAGUUCGGAUUGGGGUCUGCAACUCGACCCCAUGAAGUCGGAGUCGCUAGUAAUCGCAGAUCAGCAUUGCUGCGGUGAAUA